CCUUCUCUCCCUCCCCCAGCUUUUCAUUCAUUCGCUGGGGCUCCCACCAUUUCACUGUAAAAGGGGGUUAACUUUCUGAGUAUUUAAAUUAUCCGUGCUUUCUAUUUUCCUUUUCUUUUCUUUGCACAUUCAUUUGAAUACAACUUCUUAGACUGCCGGCCCCUAUAACUUAGAUAAACUCGGGAGAUUCAGCAAAUACUCUUCACCUCCGCUUUUCUUCUUCUCUUCACAGCAGUUUCUAAGUCCUCCGCCUUGAAAGCCUGCGACGUUAGAAAUGGACCGUCUCCUUUUCCAAACUGGAGAGCUCCAGAAAGCCUAGCUAUAGCCGUCUUGCCACUUCCCACUCCAAGUCUUCUAAUUUUACCUCUUGCUCAUGAUGAAUUAGAAAAUAUAUUUAGAAGAACUGCACAUUUAAGUUACAUUGCUGUCUUGGGAAGAGGGAAGGAGGGAGAAAAAUUUGGAAGACAAAGUUUUGCACAGAGCACAGCACCUUUUCUGAUGAGGGCAUGCUAUGUUGGACAAUCCUGGGUUUGUGAGUCCUGUGUCAUACAGUCAGUUCUAAAGUUCUUCAGAGAGAUCUUGAAAGUGUUCUUGUAUCCUUUCUCUGACCACUUAGUAAACACUUAUCCUAUGUGAGUUCAUAAAAUAAAAUUUUUUUGUAAACAUG